UGCUCACCCCGCAAAAAAGAGAGCCUCUCGUGUUUCAUGGAAUCCAGGGUUCAGAGGUCUACUGGGCUUUUUUUGUCGGCUCUCCCUUGUACAUCAUCGCACAGGCAAAGGUGGGCGGCCCGUGAUCGGAGUCACGCGGAGGCUGCUAAAGGGCAGAGCGGCUACUCCUACCAGGCUGACCAUUUGGUGUUCUACCAAAAAGGCCGAUAGCAGCAGAAGACUGACAAGCUUGGUUUGUUCGUAGGGCGGCGGCAGAUAGCAGAUCUAAGGGAUUGAUGGGUACGGCCGUACGGGAUCCCCGCAACAGGGCCCAGCGCACCCGACGGAUCGAUGAAACUUCAUCCGAAUCGGAAGAAGAAGAGGGGAUUGGUUACCCUGCAGGAAGUGGCGUUGCGGAGUCAGAGUCAGACGAAGAUCAGAUCCAGCCCAAUGGAAAGGCGCCCGCCAUUAGCUCGAGGUGCAGCGUUAAGAAGCUUAACGAUUUGAUAGCCUCGCUUGACGAGGAGAAAGGACAGUACGUCGUCGAGAUGGAAUUUGGGGGUUGCUAGAGCGGAUGCAGAUCAGGUGACAUGCAAACGGCAUGUCACCGUGUGCCUCGCGGCCUCCCAUCCACCGCCCAGCCAGGAUCCAACGGACAGCAGCACUCCAAGGCAAAAACAUUCAGACUUCAUAGUUUUCAGCCCAGACCCUCUGAAACUUCACAGUUUUGAACUUUAUAUGAUACAUAUACAAAUCUUUUAGUCAUUCAACAGUACAAACAAGUGUUUUGAACAAAAUACAAUACAAACAUCAACCUUUUAGUU